rnacentral:tRNA from 1 species
AGCCCUGAGGUGAAAUGUCAUAUUGAAUUGCUGA